GCCAGAGAAAUAUCACCCUGUAGCUCUCACCUGGGGUCCCACUGAAGCUAAAGCAGGGUAGAGCCUUGACAGUACCUGGAUGGGAGACCUCCUGGGUAAAACUAAGGUUGCUGCUGGAA
rnacentral:rRNA from 1 species